rnacentral:rRNA from 1 species
CAGUAGCCGCGGUAAAACGAGGGGGGCAAGCGUUGUUCGGAUUUAUUGGGCGUAAAGGGUGCGUAGGCGGCUUGACAAGUCUUGUGUGAAAUCUAUGGGCUCAACCCAUAGUCUGCACGGGAAACUGUCGGGCUUGAGAAUGGGAGAGGUGAGUGGAAUUUCCGGUGUAGCGGUGAAAUGCGUAGAUAUCGGAAGGAACACCUGUGGCGAAAGCGGCUCACUGGACCAUUUCUGACGCUGAUGCACGAAAGCUAGGGGAGCAAACAGGAUUAGAUACCCCAGUAGUCCCUGUCUCUUAUAC